rnacentral:rRNA from 1 species
CCUACGGGAGCCACCAGUGGGGAAUAUUCNCCAAUGGGGGCAACCCUGAUCCANCAAUGCCGCGUGUGUGAAGAAGCCCUGCGGNUUGUAAACCACUUUCAGUNGAGAAG